UUAAUUCUGUUCCUGAAAAUAACCUUAAUUAUAACCAUGAUGAAUCAAGUAAAAAAGAUAGCAAAUUCAAUAAUAUUCCAACAGAAAAUAAUAAAUCUGAUCAUAAAACUGAUGUUGCUAGAAGUGAUCAAGAACAUAAACGAGAAGGAUCACAGGAAACAAUGACUUCAGAAAAAAUGGAUGCUUUGAUUAAUUCUGUUCCUGAAAAUAACCUUAAUUAUAACCAUGAUGAAUCAAGU
rnacentral:lncRNA from 1 species